rnacentral:rRNA from 1 species
UACGGAGGGUGCAAGCGUUGUUCGGAUUUAUUGGGCGUAAAGCGCGUGUAGGCGGUUUCUUAAGUCUGAUGUGAAAGCCCCGGGCUCAACCCAGGAAGUGCAUUGGAUACUGGGAGACUUGAAUACGGGAGGGGGUAGUGGAAUUCCUAGUGUAGGAGUGAAAUCCGUAGAUAUUAGGAGGAACACCGGUGGCGAAGGCGGCUACCUGGACCGAUAUUGACGCUGAGACGCGAAAGCGUGGGGAGCAAACAGG